UUGAUCCUGGCUCAGGAUGAACGCUGGCGGUAUGCCUAACACAUGCAAGUCGAACGGUCUCUUCGGAGAUAGUGGCGGACGGGUGAGUAACACGUGAGAAUCUGGCUUCAGGAUGGGGACAACAGUUGGAAACGACUGCUAAUACCCGAUAUGCCGAAAGGUGAAAGAUUUAUCGCCUGAAGAUGAGCUCGCGGCUGAUUAGCUAGUUGGUGGGGUAAGAGCCUACCAAGGCGACGAUCAGUAGCUGUUCUGAGAGGAAGAUCAGCCACACUGGGACUGAGACACGGCCCAGACUCCUACGGGAGGCAGCAGUGGGGAAUUUUCCGCAAUGGGCGAAAGCCUGACGGAGCAAUACCGCGUGCGGGAGGAAGGCCCUUGGGUCGUAAACCGCUUUUCUUAGGGAAGAAACCUGACGGUACCUAAGGAAUAAGCCUCGGCUAACUCCGUGCCAGCAGCCGCGGUAAUACGGAGGAGGCAAGCGUUAUCCGGAAUUAUUGGGCGUAAAGAGUCCGUAGGUGGUUCAUCAAGUCUGCUGUUAAAGCGUGCAGCUCAACUGCAUAUAGGCAGUGGAAACUGUUGAACUAGAGUAUGGUAGGGGUAGGGGGAAUUCCCAGUGUAGCGGUGAAAUGCGUAGAGAUUGGGAAGAACACCGGUGGCGAAAGCGCCCUACUGGGCCAUAACUGACACUGAGGGACGAAAGCUAGGGUAGCGAAUGGGAUUAGAUACCCCAGUAGUCCUAGCCGUAAACGAUGGAAACUAGGCGUAGCUUGUAUCGACCCGAGCUGUGCCGAAGCUAACGCGUUAAGUUUCCCGCCUGGGGAGUACGCACGCAAGUGUGAAACUCAAAGGAAUUGACGGGGGCCCGCACAAGCGGUGGAGUAUGUGGUUUAAUUCGAUGCAACGCGAAGAACCUUACCAAGGCUUGACAUCCCGCGAAUCUCUUGGAAACAGGAGAGUGCCUUCGGGAGCGCGGAGACAGGUGGUGCAUGGCUGUCGUCAGCUCGUGUCGUGAGAUGUUGGGUUAAGUCCCGCAACGAGCGCAACCCUUGUCCUUAGUUGCCAUCAUUAAGUUGGGCACUCUAGGGAGACUGCCGGUGACAAACCGGAGGAAGGUGAGGAUGACGUCAAGUCAGCAUGCCCCUUACGUCUUGGGCUACACACGUACUACAAUGGUUGGGACAAAGGGCAGCAAGCUCGCGAGAGUAAGCGAAUCUCAUCAAACCCAGCCUCAGUUCAGAUUGCAGGCUGCAACUCGCCUGCAUGAAGGAGGAAUCGCUAGUAAUCGCAGGUCAGCAUACUGCGGUGAAUCCGUUCCCGGGCCUUGUACACACCGCCCGUCACACCAUGGAAGCUGGCAACAUCCGAAGUCGUUACUCCAACUGUUUACAGAGGAGGGCGCCGAAGGUGGGGCUAGUGACUGGGGUGAAGUCGUAACAAGGUAGCCGUACCGGAAGGUGUGGCUGGAUCACCUCCUUUAAGGGAGACCUCAAAGGGAUGAAGUCAAGAAAGGAAAGCGAAAGCAGACCAAUCUAAAAACUAACUUCACUCAAUGACAUCCCAAGGUCGUUCGGAGAACCUGAUUAUCAAGAAAGCUCUCAAACUAUGGGGUUCGGAAAAUGGGCUAUUAGCUCAGGUGGUUAGAGCGCACCCCUGAUAAGGGUGAGGUCCCUGGUUCAAGUCCAGGAUGGCCCACAUUUAACCGAGUCAGAACCAAAAAGACAGUAGCACCUAUGAGAUAACAGCAAACUAGUGUCAAGACAUAAGUUUUCGCUGUGAAGCUGCAUAAUAUCUCCAAGAGUGAAUCAGAAUGCUGUCAGCAAAGAAAAGUAAGGAUAAGAUUCAGCACUACUCAAAAGAAGAGUAAAUGCUGGAUUUCAAGUCCAGCCCAGAACCUUGAAAACUGCAUAGUCAAGAAUCAAAAAGUGUAGAGAGUCCUGUUUAACAGGAAUCUUAAAACAAGUUA
rnacentral:rRNA from 1 species